CGUCAAAUUCAUUCGCGCUUAUCAGACAUACGAGCACGUUUCAACGCUCAAGUUGAUCAACUUAUGAAUGACAUGGAGGAGUCUUUAGAAAAUCUCGUUGACCAAUUCCAAAUGUUUAGAACUACCAGGGGAAGGUCCACCCACAGACGAAGGAGACACAGACACGUCUCACGCAGUAUCACAUUCAGAGUUGUUAUGUUGCUAAGACACGUGGAUCGAUUUACAUCACAUAAUGAUGGAACUCCACAGUGCAGGAUCAUUGUGCCCCAAAACCUCAGUGAAUAUCAGUUUAGAGCGGUAUUAAAGGA
ensembl:lncRNA